UGACUUUAAUCUGAUAGGAGACAAUGAAGAUGAUAAUAAAUAUGAGGAAGACAUCGCCAAUCUUGCAAAAGAAAUUUGUCUUGUAUGGAAAGUGAAUGAUUGGGUUGCUGUUGCAUAUGAAAAACAAUGGAAUAUUGGAUAUAUUGUGGAGGUAUCUAUAACUGGGAUCAGAGUUAAUUGUAUGAUUAACGGGCAAGAGAAGAAUACUUUUCGCUGGCCAGUUACUACCGAGGAGAUAAAUAACCAAACUGAUAAAAUUAUCUGUUUAGUAAAUGCUCCUUUUCUAAUCAGUGGUUGUGGCGAUUAUUCAUUAUCCGAAAAAGACUAUAAUACAGUCAUAUCAUUAUUCUUAGAGAAACUUACUGCAGCAGAGUAGAAAUUAUGUGUGAUGUGGUGGAUAAUGUGUGUAAAUGACUCUAUUAAUAAAUGAAAAACUAAUUUUUAAAUGGAAAAACAUUUAAAUGUUUGAUUUAUGUUUUAUUUAAUUAGCAAUAUAGUUAUCUUGAUGUUA